CGGCUAACUCCGUGCCAGCAGCCGCGGUAAUACGGAGGAUCCAAGCGUUAUCCGGAAUCAUUGGGUUUAAAGGGUCCGUAGGCGGUUUUUUAAGUCAGAGGUGAAAUCCUGCAGCUCAACUGUAGAAUUGCCUUUGAUACUGAAAGACUUGAGUUAUUGUGAAGUGGUUAGAAUGUGUGGUGUAGCGGUGAAAUGCAUAGAUAUYACACAGAAUACCAAUUGCGAAGGCAGAUCACUAACAAUAUACUGACGCUCAGGGACGAAAGCGUGGGUAGCGAACAGGAUUAGAUACCCUGGUAGUCCACGCCGUAAAACGAUGGAUACUAGCUGUUUGUC
rnacentral:rRNA from 1 species